ACUAAAGAAGAAAAGAAAAAAAACAACCAAAAACGAAAAUAGUUGAGAGGGGUGCGGACAUCACAGUCCUUGCCCGCUAAGCACAAAGCAAAGCAAAGCAAACCGAAGCAAAGCAAACGGCCAGCUUCGCACCUGCUCCUGUGCAGACACCCGCCCUGAGUGCUGCUGCUGCUGCUGCUGCAGCGUGUGCGGGACGGGCGUGGAGGCGGCUGCGGGGUCCACGCUGCCAAACGGCACCCGCACCUCUGCUGUUUGGGGUACUGCUCCAGUGCCCCGCUCUGCUCGCCGCUCUGUGCCGAGCUGCUCGCAGCCUUUGCCCACGGGAGCGGCGCGGUCUGCGCUGCCCACAGCAGCGCUCGGUUCCCCCCAAGCCCCGGGUGCCAGAAAUUAAGUACAGACAGCAGCUUGUGGUGUUAUGGCAGAGCACAGCGGGCUGUACGCCCUGGUGACACCGUACUGCUAUACUGGGGGUGGUGCCCACUCAUCCUCGCUGGGUUUGGGGGCAUCCCUACAAAGAACCGUACCGGUUUGUUUCCCAGCAAAGUGCCUCCUGUGCUCUGAUGAGGCCGUGGUGAGCUGGGGGCUGUAAGCUGAGAAGUGAGCAAGAGAUCCAGACUUACUGACCAGCCAAGGCACCUGAUCCCAGCCCUCGGCUGUGGGGGUCUUCAGAAAAACGCCUUUCAUUCAACACUCCUGGAGUAUUUCCUCCAGAACCUCACUGCUACAACGUAGAAGAGACUUCUAGAAGCGAAGCCGCCCACCAAGGUGGAAAGGAGCCUCCAGAUGACGGGGUUCAGGUAGCUGGAGGCAAGGCACAAGUACCGCUUCCCAUCCAGAUCCCCGAGUUUGGGAUCUCAGCAUUGGAAAAAACCAAAUCCUGCCUGAGACAUGCAGCAAAAACGUUUGUUUGUGAAGAAGGUGUUGUUGGACAAGGCAGUCAUCUGGGAGUUGCUGGAUUGCUGUGCAGAGCUGGGCGUUUGCUUUGCUUUGCUUUGUGCUUAGCAGACAAGGACUGUGAUACCCGCACCCCUCUCUCCUAUUUCCUUUUGGUUGGGUAUAUAUAUAUUUUUUUCCUUAUUUCCCCCGGCAGAGGACCCAUUAUGAAUGCCACAGCUCCACAGAUCUAUGGGUAUGGGUGGCAUGGAUGGGCAGAUAUUUGCCCUCAAGAGCAAACGUGAUGCCCAGUAGGUAGCAAGGCAGGCGUACAGCCUCAGCGCUUCCUCAGGCACCCACACACCCACCGAAAGGCUUUGCAUUUCUCUCCCAUCUUCCUUCACUGCCUGCCUGGUGAAAGUGCAUCCAGCACAGACAGAGGGCUGAGGCGUGCAGCAGCACGGCCAUCCAUCCCAAUGGAGGUGCCCUCCCAGCCCACCUGCAUGUGUUGUACACCAGAGAGGUCUUUCACUUAAAAGGCAGAACUGCACUGAGACGGUGAAUAACUCAUGAAUCAAGCAGGGGGACACGUUUUGAUGAGCAGGGACUUGUUCCUAUGGUAAUGUGGAAUUUGUUUUUCUGCAGUAAAGGCGUUUGCUGUAAUUAUCCAUCAGCCCAACCGACAUCGGUGUAAGUUCUGGGAUUAACACAUAGCCCAAACCAAGACAAGGGAUAUUUGGGACUGCUGAUUCUUCCUCUCUUCUUUAUGCAAACAUUGCUCUUCCAAGCUAUGUGCAGCCAGGCAAAUUAUCAACGAAAGCCCCAGAGCAGCAAAGAUGCAGCACUGGCAGCCUGCUUUCUGGGUUUCUGAAAAACUCACUGGAGCAGAUCCUCCGCUGGCAGAGCUGAGCUUCUAGCAGAGCUUCUUGUCUCAUCUCUUUUGAUCCCCUUGUGCGCUCCGCUAAUUGUGAGGUAAUGAAACAGCUUUGUGCAUUUGGCAAACAAAUUUCUUCACUGCUGACUUCCAGAAUGCUUGUCAGCAGCGCAAAAGGAAGAUAUCUGCAGCCUCUGGGGUAAGGGUGGUAAUCCCACGGGUCCACAGAGGUGGGUUUAGAAGCAGAAGGCAGACAGAGACACAUUAAAGAACUUCAGUGAGCAAAAUUGCCCAGAUAUUUGCUGGAAACUUCAAGGGUUCCAAGCAGUUUAUGUCCUGUGCAAUCCAGAGCAUGGACUGGGACACAACCAAGUGGGCUUCAGCCCCAGCAUUGGUGUGGAUAUGGAGGUGGCAGUGUGGGUGGUGGGACGGGCAGCUGGCUUGUGGCAGUUGUCUGAAAGCUGGCUUCCACACAAGCUGCAGUCUCAUCUCUGGAUGCAGGUGAGAACACAGCAGCUUUCAUGAACUACAGUAACGUUCCCUUUACUUACACACAUAAAAGUAUGACUGCUAUAUUGAAGUAGUUUCUGAACAGUUAUUCUAAUGGUUUUCAUCACAGCAUUGAGGAAAUUGUUUGAAACCUGCAAGAGGUGCAAGAAUUACGUGUACGUAUGAAGCCUAAGCACCUAUUUCAGAUCAAGAUGAAUAGAAAACUGAUGUUAAUCAUUUAACGCUUUUGAGUUGAAGCGUACGGUUCUGUUGGAGGCUAGCAGCUGCAGCAGAGAGAAACAGGAUGAAAGAGAGCCAGGUAUUGCCUUCUGGCCACAUAACACUCCUGUGAGCACCUGGUAACCACCCACUUCCCUGCAGAUUGUCCUCCUUCAGCAUCAGUGUAGGCACAGGUGGUAGAAGCACAGGCAGCUGCAUCACAUAAAAUGCAUUUCAUGCUCAUUUUGAGCCAGAACUCUGAGAAAGAAGGCAAUGUGGAACAGAUAAUAAUUCAUACGAUAAUAAUUCAUUUGCUGAACUUUGUCUCUUCUUCUGGUGAUCAGUGUUUGCAAACAGUUUCUUAAUGUGUUUGUUAAUUACUUGCAUUUAUAUGCUUACCUCCAUUUGUGUGCUCCCACCAAAACCAAAAGAAAGAUUCUCAUUGUUUUAAUAACGAAGUGGUUCGGGCCAUGUUCAUGAGGCUUGUACAUACAUUCAAGAAGAAAAACUGUCAAAAGAAACUGAAAAGUAAAACGUUAAAGUGAAGUGAUCGGUGGAAUGUUGGUGUAGUCUGGGUUCCUGUGCCCACCUGGUAGACUCAUUUAAGCAGAGAUGAAAGAAAAGGCGGCUGUGUCACACAGUGUCUGCACAUGGACACACAGCAUGCAAGGUUUUUCAGACAGCAGUGGAGCUGGCAUUUCUUGUUCUUCGAGUUGUUUGUGUCUGAAACCACGUCUUUUCCAUGCUGUUCUGAUCACAGAAACCCUGAUGUUUUGAUGUAGGACCCAAAUGCCUGGCACUGCUGCUGUUGUGCUCCACUGGAUGCUCCUCCUUCCCACGGCUUACAGCUCUAUCCCGACUCUCCUCUUGCCUUCCUAAAGCACUUUCCUGCAGCAUCUCCUUUCAGUCUUUUUUGUCUUUUUCUACCAGGGAAGAAAGAUCCAAAAAGUGUGUCUCUGUAGCUGAUCUGGACAAAUUCCGAUUUACUGUAUUGACAAAGAAACUGAAAAGUUAGUUAUUGCCAAAGGCCCAACCCAAACUCCAGUCACGGAUCUAAAAUAACAACUCUGCCUUCAGUGUAUUUCCUGAAGUUCAUUAUAUCAGUCUGUUUAUUCUAAGGUUCUUUCAUUUGGUCUUUUUUCUCUCUUUUUUAUCACCAUCACCCCACCUAAGGUGGCAUGUCUCAGUUACUGCUGCAGCUGCUCCCAAAUCCCAUUUCUCCUCCUUCUCCUCCCAGUGCUCCGUCUGCACAGAGACUCAUUAUCCAACAUGAUGAAAGUGAGUGGUGGUAAAAGCAUGCUGCUCCUCUCUAUUAAACAGCUUCUGCUCCUAGAACAAAUGAAUGGUUCCCUUUGAAUGUUUGUGGAUAUGGAGAUAGCACUGUAUUAUUCUAAAAUGUGAUUUGUCAUAACAGUGAGCAUAACGCGAUGACAUGGUUCCCCAUUCCUCAUCUCUUGGUCAUUUUCUUUACAAGAUUUUGUUGAUGUAAUUCAAUGAUAUGGAGUUGUAAUCUUUACCACUUCACCAGACACCUUUCAGCACUAUAGUCAGC
ensembl:lncRNA